rnacentral:misc_RNA from 1 species
UUGUGGAGGAGGACGCCGAAGGUGGGGCUAAUGACUGGGGUGAGGUCGUAACAAGGUAGCCGUACCGGAAGGUGCGGCUGGAUCACCUCCUAACAGGGAGACAACAAAAUGUUUAUAUUAUUAUUUUGUCACCUUAGGUCGAUCGGUAUCUCACAUUCUUAAUUAAUUAAGAAUUUCAUUUCCUAAGUUUUUCUAGGUCACACCCAUUAUUUUUCCUGGGCCAUUAGCUCAGGUGGUUAGAGCGCACCCCUGAUAAGGGUGAGGUCCCUGGUUCAAGUCCAGGAUGGCCCAUAUCUCUAUGUUGGGGGUAUAGCUCAGUUGGUAGAGCGCCUGCUUUGCAAGCAGGAUGUCAGCGGUUCGAGUCCGCUUACCUCCACUGAUUACCACCUCUUCCAUAAUCUGUAGAAAGGAAAAUUUUUGAGUUGUGAUCAUAAUUCUGAACGAAUCUAGCUUCCUAAUGAAAUCAUUAAGAUGCUGGACUCAUUGAAUUAAUUUCAUUGUUUUCAGAGAACCUUGACAACUGCAUAGAUUAUUUUUAAAGACAAUAAGCAUCUUUAUGAUGCAGAUUUAUUAUUUGUGCGAAUGCAUUAAUAACAAUUCUAUUAAGCUAAUACUUCAAUCUUGAAGUUAUUGGUCAAGCUACAA